GGCUGUCCACGGAAGGCACUAACAGCUCAGUGCUUGAAAUGCUUUAGAAUUGGGCUGCAUGAGAAAAAAAAGAUUCUUAACUGCUUCACUUCUCCUUCCUAAAGAAUUACAUGCUUUUUUAACCCUAUGAUAACAGGAUUACAAGACAAGAAAAGCGAUGAGGAAUGAUGCUACAGGUAAUCAUGAGGUGAAUCCUGCCCCUACCCCUCUGCAGUCAUUUCAAUACUCAAGCUGUGCCAGAGGACUGAGAGGACUACCAGGAGUCAAGAGCUUCAUCAGCUGAUUUGGGAUAUGCAGACGACAGCAGCCACGGCACUGAAGAGACUGCACGACAGUAACAAAGAAAGCAUGAGUUAUCUUCAGGGAGCUGCGCAGUGGUCUCCAGCUGGCUCCAGGCCCCAGCUCAGAAGGUCACACAGCUGACAUAUCAUCCUCAUUAGGUUCUGGUGACCACCACCUUGAGAGAAGCUGGGAUUUUUCUUCUCUAGUGAAAGAAAAUGCAUCAUACAAGUCAACAUUUAGCUGUCGUCCUGUAGUGCUGAACAAAGUGCUGCAAACUGCCAAGGCUGCUCCAGACCCAACAACAGCAAAGCCUCAGAUGAACCCAUGAGUCAAAUACAAGUGUGAAACAACACAUCUGUGUGACUGUCCACUUCAAAAAGCUACACUGUGCUUUUAGGGAUAGGCACCAGGUAGGGAAAAGUGGCGAGGGAAAGCACAGGUCAGAAAAAAAGAUGCUCAAGAAUACUUCUCUAGAUGCUGCAGUACUUUCAAAGGCAAAGACGAGACUUUUAGCCAAGAAGGGUUUUAAACAGAAGAGCUUAUACCUGUUUCCUGAACUGGAUGCUAAAGUUACUCAUUAGCAAUAUGAAUUCAGGCAUAGGGCUGUUUGUUUGGGGCAGGAAUGUAUAUUUGUUUUUUAUUUCCCCAGAAGCAAGUAGCUUACAUCUGAGGGAUAUCAAUUAUUAACUCCAGCCUGAGAUGAAAGUGUACAAGUUUAACUUCC